GUGGUUGUAGCUCAGUUGGUUAGAGCGCCUGGUUGUGGCCCAGGAGGUCGCCGGUUCGAGUCCGGUCUACCACCCCA
rnacentral:tRNA from 1 species